CUGAAAGUGGGCGACCCCGGUCCAGUUGUUGAGUCUCAGUUUGUUGUUCAGAUAUUUUUCUUCAACUGUUUGGAUAAUUUGAACAAACUGUGAAGCUAGAAAGUGUGUGUGAGCUGAUGUGGAUUCAGCAGCAUGGAUCAGUGUGAGGACAGAGAGGAGGGAGUCCCUCCCUCUAAAACCACUCUGUGUGGGGAAGAUGAGAGCCAGAGCAAAGGUCAGAGGAUCCAUCAGAGACUCAAAUCAGAACCAGAACCAGAACCAGAACCCAGCUGUGUGUCCUUUAAGAGUGACUGGUCAAAGGAAGGUCCUCCUGACUUUAAAUCUCCUGGA